UUUGGGACGACGUAAUUGUAAUUUCGGGAACGAACGUUGAGAAAGAGAAUGUUUUGGAAGAAGAAAUGUGUUUGCAAGGAGAUGCCAUGGAAUGCCGCGGAGCAGUGAUUGACAGGAGAGAACCUGCUUCGAUUCUUGGAAUCUCGGGGGAGGGGCGGAUCGAGGAAGUUCAGGGAGGUUGCUAGGAAACUCUGAGAAGAGACUUUACUCCAGCCUUCGGAAGGGAACCCUACGUGAGUCCUGCCAAGGAUUUCCCUAUCGAACCUGAGAUCUACAGAGUCCAGAAAUCUUUCCUGUCACGUGAAGUAGAACGAGACCAACAAGGGAGCCGAUUGGAACGGCUCGUUUACUUCAGGGGUUACUUCCCAGAGGUAAGACUACACAAGGGCAGGAGGUGGAGUCAAGAUGGCAACAUAGAAGCAGCAAAAGUUCAGACCUCUGAAAACCCUUCCUUACCAAUCACAAACUGA
rnacentral:lncRNA from 1 species